rnacentral:lncRNA from 1 species
UAGGGAACCUAUAGUGUUUCUCCAUUUUUAGCCAAAAGAAAAUAAGUAACCAAGGCAAAUUUAUAAAUAAGAAAUAGGCUCCAAAGCUAAAGUAAAAAGGGUCAGUAACAAAGUAAUUUUUACAUAAAUCUUUCUGGUUUGAUUUCUGUUAAGAUAUAGAAAACUUAAGUAUUUUGUUUUUAGCCACUGUCAUGUCUUAAAACUUGAAACUUUCUUUUUUCAAAAUAGACGUUAUGACAGUGUAAUAAACCGGCUGUACACUGGGAUUCAAUGUUACUCUUGUGGAAUGAGGUUUACGACAUCCCAGACAGAUGUUUAUGCAGAUCACUUGGACUGGCAUUAUCGACAGAAUAGAACUGAGAAAGAUGUUAGCAGAAAAGUCACUCACAGACGUUGGUACUACAGUCUAACAGACUGGAUAGAAUUUGAAGAAAUAGCUGAUCUGGAGGAACGUGCAAAAAGCCAGUUUUUUGAAAAGGUUCAUGAAGAGGUUGUCCUUAAAAC